AACGAACGCUGGCGGCAUGCCUAACACAUGCAAGUCGAACGAGACCUUCGGGUCUAUUGGCGCACGGGUGCGUAACGCGUGGGAACCUUCCCUUAGGUUCGGAAUAACUCCCCGAAAGGGGUGCUAAUACCGGAUAAUGUCUUCGGACCAAAGAUUUAUCGCCUUUGGAUGGGCCCGCGUUGGAUUAGCUAGUUGGUAGGGUAAAAGCCUACCAAGGCGACGAUCCAUAGCUGGUCUGAGAGGAUGAUCAGCCACACUGGGACUGAGACACGGCCCAGACUCCUACGGGAGGCAGCAGUGGGGAAUAUUGGACAAUGGGCGAAAGCCUGAUCCAGCAAUGCCGGGUGAGUGAUGAAGGCCUUAGGGUUGUAAAGCUCUUUUACCCGGGAUGAUAAUGACAGUACCGGGAGAAUAAGCUCCGGCUAACUCCGUG
rnacentral:rRNA from 1 species